GAUGAACGCUGGCGGCGUGCCUAAUACAUGCAAGUCGAGCGAACAGAUGAGGAGCUUGCUCCUCUGACGUUAGCGGCGGACGGGUGAGUAACACGUGUAUAACCUACCUAUAAGACUGGUAUAACUUCGGGAAACCGGAGCUAAUACCGGAUAAUAUAUUGAACCGCAUGGUUCAAUAGUGAAAUACGGUUUUGCUGUCUCUUAUAGAUGGAUCCGCGCCGCAUUAGCUAGUUGGUAAGGUAACGGCUUACCAAGGCAACGAUGCGUAGCCGACCUGAGAGGGUGAUCGGCCACACUGGAACUGAGACAGGGACCAGACGACUAAGGGAGGCAGCAGUAGGGAAUGGUCCGCAAUGGGCGAAAGCAUGACGGAGCAACGCGGAGUGAGUGAUGAAGGUCUUCGGAUCGUAAAACUCUGUUAUUAGGGAAGAACAAAUGUGUAAGUAACUAUGCACGUAUUGACGGUAACUAAUCAGAAAGCCACGGCUAACUACGUG
rnacentral:rRNA from 1 species